AGCGAACGCUGGCGGCAGGCUUAACACAUGCCAGUCGAGCGCCCCGCCAGGGGAGCGGCAGCCGGGUGAGUAACACGUGGGAACGUACCCUUUGGUUCGGAACAACCCAGGGAAACUUGGGCUAAUACCGGAUAAGUCCGCGAGGAGAAAGAUUUAUCGCCGAAGGAUCGGCCCGCGUCUGAUUAGCUAGUUGGUGUGGUAACGGCGCACCAAGGCGACGAUCAGUAGCUGGUCUGAGAGGAUGAUCAGCCACACUGGGACUGAGACACGGCCCAGACUCCUACGGGAGGCAUCAGUGGGGAAUAUUGGACAAUGGGGGCAACCCUGAUCCAGCCAUGCCGCGUGAGUGAUGAAGGCCCUAGGGUUGUAAAGCUCUUUCGGUGGGGAAGAUAAUGACGGUACCCACAGAAGAAGCCCCGGCUAACUUCGUG
rnacentral:rRNA from 1 species